rnacentral:rRNA from 1 species
UACGUAGGGUCCGAGCGUUGUCCGGAAUUAUUGGGCGUAAAGAGCGUGUAGGCGGUUUGGUAGGUCCGCUGUGAAAACUCGAGGCUCAACCUCGAGACGCCGGUGGAAACCAUCAGACUAGAGUCCGGAAGAGGAGAGUGGAAUUCCUGGUGUAGCGGUGAAAUGCGCAGAUAUCAGGAAGAACACCCGUGGCUAAGGCGGCUCUCUAGUACGGUACUGACGCUGAGACGCGAAAGCGUGGGGAGCGAACAGG